AUUGAACGCUGGCGGCAUGCCUUACACAUGCAAGUCGAACGGAUCAGAAGGGCUUGCUCUUCUGGUUAGUGGCGAACGGGUGAGUAAUGCAUCGGAACGUACCCAGUCGCGGGGGAUAACGUAGCGAAAGUUACGCUAAUACCGCAUACGAUCUGAGGAUGAAAGCGGGGGACCUUCGGGCCUCGCGCGAUUGGAGCGGCCGAUGUCGGAUUAGCUAGUUGGUGAGGUAAAGGCUCACCAAGGCGACGAUCCGUAGCUGGUCUGAGAGGACGACCAGCCACACUGGGACUGAGACACGGCCCAGACUCCUACGGGAGGCAGCAGUGGGGAAUUUUGGACAAUGGGCGAAAGCCUGAUCCAGCCAUGCCGCGUGAGUGAAGAAGGCCUUCGGGUUGUAAAGCUCUUUCAGACGGAAAGAAAUCUUCUGGGUGAAUAUCCCGGGAGGAUGACGGUACCGUAAGAAGAAGCACCGGCUAACUACGUGCCAGCCGCCGCGGUAA
rnacentral:rRNA from 1 species